rnacentral:tRNA from 1 species
AGUUUAAUUAGACGUAAACACGUUAAAUUGUAAGUUUAAAAAAUCUAGGGUUAAGCUU